rnacentral:rRNA from 1 species
AUUGAACGCUGGCGGCAGGCCUAACACAUGCAAGUCGAGCGGAUGAAGGGAGCUUGCUCCUGGAUUCAGCGGCGGACGGGUGAGUAAUGCCUAGGAAUCUGCCUGGUAGUGGGGGAUAACGUCCGGAAACGGGCGCUAAUACCGCAUACGUCCUGAGGGAGAAAGUGGGGGAUCUUCGGACCUCACGCUAUCAGAUGAGCCUAGGUCGGAUUAGCUAGUUGGUGGGGUAAAGGCCUACCAAGGCGACGAUCCGUAACUGGUCUGAGAGGAUGAUCAGUCACACUGGAACUGAGACACGGUCCAGACUCCUACGGGAGGCAGCAGUGGGGAAUAUUGGACAAUGGGCGAAAGCCUGAUCCAGCCAUGCCGCGUGUGUGAAGAAGGUCUUCGGAUUGUAAAGCACUUUAAGUUGGGAGGAAGGGCAGUAAGUUAAUACCUCGCUGUUUUGACGUUACCAACAGAAUAGGCACCGGCUAACUUCGUG